CAGAAGGCUGAUAGAAACAGAACCGAGCAAACUUGUGAGUUGAAGAUUUUCUUGUGUAAUAGGAGGCAGGCACUGCUUCUUAGCUAAAAUCUGACUCAAGAUAGUCUUAGCUGAUUUUGUUUCCAUAGGUAGUUCUGUUGAGUUGUAUACGUUCUAUUAAGUUGACCAAGUACAUAUGCUAGUUUAAUUUGCCAUUUAGGUCUGGACAGUUCAUGACUAAUGUAUACAUCGUGUGGCAGCUAAAUGUAGUUUUAGAUAUUCAAUUAUAGCUUCAACUAUGCUCAUGUACGCUAUUCAAAUCUAUAGCUAUGUGUUGUGUAUGAUAGGGAGAUCCUCUUUCCACCAAGCAUUAUUGAACACCAAAUCCAAUCAAUGAGAGAAACGUGCAUUAGCUCCUCACGGUGUGGGAGGUGUGUAGGGUACUGCUUUCCUACGCUUAAAAUCUUAGGUCGGCAGAUUUAUAUGGCUCUGUCCAUAGUUCUCCAUAUAAUUGUGGUUGGCAUCAUUUCAUGGGUACAAAGUUGCGUCUGGCCUUUCUUUAUUGGCUUGCUAUGAUACAUUUUUGUAUCUUAGUAUAGUGGUUUAUUUGGAUAGUCCGGUGGACUUGCAUUACUUUACUUAAGUUUAUACAUUAAUCCUUGUGUUUCCUUUAUGUGACGUUAUCUUUUUGUUAUUCUGUGUUAUUAUAUUUGAAAAUAAUUUAAUUUUAAAUUUUUUUAUUUUAUAAGAAACAUUUAUAGGCACAUGAAUACUAUGAUAUGCGUACGAUUAAAAUUGUAAAAACCCUCUUCUUCUUUUUUGUUAUAUUUUGCGUCUUAGUUAAACUAAGUUAUGAUAGUUGGACCGGAUGGACAUGUAAAGUAUUUCUUUUGAUUUAUUUGUUGAGUGGACAUGUUGGUUUUUGGGAUUGUUGAACCUUGAGAACCUUGGUACUUAAAUGUUUUACUUAUUUAUUACUUUAAGGGAUGCACAAUUUUCUUGAGCUUACUACUUGGAAAUGCUUCCUGAUGUAUAAACGUGAUUUGAAGUCAAUGUUUCUGUUCUAUAUCAUAUAAAAAAAUUAAGAAGGAUCGUCUAAGAUAAAACCGUAAACAUGGAUAAUAAAGACCAGGGAAAUAAGUGGUUUGAUUAAAAGUCACCUAUGCCUAUAAAAUUUUGGUCAACUUAUGUAGUACAGGUUCUUUGCUGUACCUAUCAGUCCAUGCAUGUGGCAGCAAAUGAAUGAAAUAAAUGUUUGGGGCUGUGACAUAUCCCCUUUUAUGAUGUGUUCUUCAAGAGCAAUUGCCAUUCUAAUAUAAUACCACCACCCCGUGGUUCUAGGAUUUCUAAUACGGAACUCUAGAUCAUGGGUGAACUACUAGAAACGGAGGAAAAUAGAAGUAUUAAAUGGGAAGUGUUUCUUGUUUCUUUGGGUAAACAACUCAUCAUUCAAUCAAGUAUAUUAUUGAAUUUUUUUCAGUAUGAGGUUAAUAGAUAAUAUUAGACUAAUUUUAGAAAAUAUAUACAUAAAAUAUCUAUUAUGACAAAGAGAUCAUGGAUUCACGUUCUUCAUAAUUCGGGCAAUAAAUCUGCUCGGGUAGUGUGGGUGGGAGGAACUUAAUGAUUGAAGAUUGUAGGAUUAUCGAACUUUGUAGGACGAAAAGAAGGGUCCAUCGUGCUGUUACGCAGCGUCUUCCUGAGAUUCCUUGGAAGGGCGACGUAAGGCUAAGCAACUAAUGUCAGUGCAGUUGCUGUCCGCCAACUGAGGUCCCCUCUGUAUGCUAGACGAGAUUGUCAGUGUCAUACGGGAAAAUCAAUGUCAAGCGCAAUUGAGAAAACAGAAUUGAGAAUGAAAGCUUGAUUGCAUUAAUGAAAGCUAUUACAUAAGGCUACGCGGUGUCGAGAGGGAGAGACACCAGUACAGAGAAUUAUUUGCUUGCUUGAUUGCUUGAUUCCCCCUAAUAAUACUUAAAAAAAA
rnacentral:lncRNA from 1 species